rnacentral:rRNA from 1 species
UACGAAGGGUGCAAGCGUUACUCGGAAUUACUGGGCGUAAAGCGUGCGCAGGCGGUUUUGUAAGUCUGUCGUGAAAUCCCCGGGCUUAACCUGGGAAUUGCGAUGGAGACUGCAAGGCUAGAAUCUGGCAGAGGGGGGUAGAAUUCCACGUGUAGCAGUGAAAUGCGUAGAGAUGUGGAGGAACACCGAUGGCGAAGGCAGCCCCCUGGGUCAAGAUUGACGCUCAUGCACGAAAGCGUGGGGAGCAAACAGG